GAUAGAAAACGACGGAAUUAUUCUCUGAGAAAGUUUCAGAGAGAGCGCGAGUCAUUAAGCUGUUCCAGUCAUAGAUAAUAUAAUAAAGAUCUUUAUUAUAUUUAUAUAUCUAUGAAGAAGACUACUACUACUUCCGGUUAAGAUCGAGGUGGAGCACGAGACAAGCUCGCUGGGGAGAAACGACGGGGAGGAAGAAGGAUCGGACAAAGACUCGUUUAUCGAGGGGACCCUCGUGGGGAAGGAAGUGUUAUCUGCAGAUGCCUACAACUGUUGGUGGUAGAAGAAGGGGUUCCCUGCAAAUGUGGUCUUGACAAGCAGGACGUGGAGCAUCUCUCCAUCAAACAGGAACCUCAGGAUCUAUGGCCCAAGCAGGAUAAGUGAUGGAAGAUGGAAUGACGACAGGGCACAUAGGUCAGGUGUAAACAGUGACGUGGAGUGUAACACUGCCAGAAAAUCCCUCAUCUGCUCUGAAUGUGGUCAAGAGGUUCACCACCAACGAUCUCUCUAGAGACAUUUAACAAAGAAACCUUUAUUUAUUUAAACCAUACAAGAUGUUUUAAAGUGACACAUGUAAAAACUGUUAAAUUUAAUGUUUAUGUCAACAUCAAAAAUCUGUGGUAAAAUGACUGAAUGUGGACAAAG